rnacentral:misc_RNA from 1 species
ACCCCGCUGCUGCCUGUGUGUGUGCGCGCGCGGUCUUAUUGAUGCCUGUUUUCCGUAGCGUUUACGUUUGCGGUUUCUGUCUGCUUCCUUGUUUAGGCGGCAUCGCAAGUGAUCCACGCAGGUGGAGAGGGUUACAUGAACCGGCAUCCGCACGAGCGCCUCAUUGCACCCUUCCAGGAUUCGGAGCAAGCGCGCCAUGGAGCAGCAGGCGCAGCUCACAGACGCUGCUCGGCAGCAACAGCAACAGCAGUGCUCGACAGGCACAGCGGCAAUCACGCGCGGCAUCAACGAAGAGGCCUUCGACUCAGUGCGCCAGGCGGCCGUAGUGAUGUUCAAGCAGCGGACCAAAGACCUCACUCGGCUCACACAGGUGGAGACGCAGUGCCAGGCCAUCGAGGCGGAGCUGCGCCAAGCCCAGACCUGUGUAACACAACUGAUGGCGCAACAAGCGUCGCUGGAAGCCCUUGUGGAGGAAGAGCAGCAGCGCACUCGUCAGCGAGAAAGUCGACUGCAGGAACUGCACAGCUCUCUUUUACAGCUGGACGAGGAGCAGCAGACGAGUGGUAAGCUGCAACGAUCGGCAGAGGCCGCCAUCGGCGCGGCGACCGCGUUCAUUCGCACGUUUACCAACGCGGACGGGCGCCUCUUUCAGCUGCUCACCAUGGCCAGCGCGCGGACGGCAGGCCGCAGCGCGCUGGAGCUGCAACGGCUGCUGGCGGACGUUCAGCAGGCGCUUGUGGCAGCAGAGGCGCAUCGCCAAGGCCUCAUGUGUUUGCCUUCUUUCUCGCUCACAGCCGAGGCCUCCGCGAGUGGUGAUUUGCGUUACACAGCCCCACCCUCCUCGACGGCAGUGGUGUCCGCCGAUGCCUCCACCACCGGCGUAUUGCAUGCACUGCGUGAGUGGGCGGACAAGAUGGACUGGGCCCAGCACCGCGAGCUUGCGGACGUUGUGCAGAUCAUGCAGCAGCUCGUGGCGUGGCUUUCCGCGGGUGGCAGCGCUCAAGAAGAAGCACAGCAGGCAGUUGCCGGGGGAAGAGCGCCGUAUGAGUGGGGCUUGCCAUGGCCGCCGCUGCCGCCAUUCACCGAGGAAGCCGUGACGGAGCACCACUGGUUCGGGUCACUGUCACUGCCCUCCACGAUUUUCCAAGCCGAUAUUCACGGCGGCGGCUCUGCGGAGGUAGCGGCUGAAGACAAGGGAACGCGCGCAACCCUUCCGCUGGAAGAGUGUGCGGUGGAUGUGGAUGACAACGUGGUUCCAAGCAGCGAGGUCGUGCAGCUUGUCGUGCAGCAAAACCUCCUUGCCCCACUGCAGGCGAUAUCGACGUACAACGCGCAUCUCGCAGCUGUGUGUGCACAGAAGCACCUGCAGCUCCCUGAAGAUGCGUCGUCACUCGCCGCCUCGCUAACCGCAACGAAGCAGCGGUGGAUAUUCUUUCACGAGGCGUGGCAACAGUGGCGUGAGGAGGUGCUGAAAACGCAGGCGGCCGCCGAAGCAGCCACAGCCGCAGCGACGGAGCUGGACGCGGCGCAAGCGGCACUCCGAGUGUUGCAGCGAAACUGUGAAGAGCAGUCUCACAACUGCGCAUCUCGCAAGAAAGAAGUGGCGAGCCUCAAGGAGACGGAGAUCAGCCACUACGCUGCGGCGUGGUCGAGGGGCGUGUGUGCGUCGCAAGCGCAGCGCGACUCGUUCCGCGCAGUGUCUGACGCCAUUGUGUCACUAACAAAGGAGGCGUCAGCGCUGGCUACCGCCUUGCACGGCGACUCCGAGCACCACGCUCACGAGACCCACGCGCGCGAUGUCGCCCUGGCCGAACAGCAAGAGCAACUCACAGCGACGCGGCAGCGCGUGGCAGUCGCCAAGACGAGGGCCGCGGCGCUGGAGGCUGAGUGUGCAGAGGCGCAGCGUGUUCAGCAGCUCGUGCGAGAUCAGUUUGACGAGCUGUUGUCGUGCGCCACGAGGCGCUUGCAGCCUCCCCCCGGCGCUGCCGGCAGCAACGACGAUGGCGAAAACAUCAAUGAGGCCGCCCCCAGGGAUCUUGGCGAGUUGCCGGUGGCUCGGUGUGCGGCAAGCGUUGCACAGAAACUGCUGCGUUCGGCCACAGCAUGCUCGCCGGCGCACGCGGCAUGGACGGAGCGUCUUGUGGAGCUGGCAUCGGAGGUCCAUGACGUCGCGGCGGGGGACAGCAACGGCAGUCUUCUCAUCUCGUCUGUGUCGCAACUCUUUGCAAACCUGAUGGACCGCUGCGGUGGCGGUCAAGCAGCUGGCAGCGAAUCGGGCAGCGAGCCCACACUCGAUGCAGCGGCAGUUCGAUUGGCUAUACAAGACACGGUGGCAGGUUUGCGCCUCCCAAGCGACCUCUUCCUCGACGUCGUCGAUGCAGAACUCAUGGCUCAGGUGCCGUACCUUCGCACAUGGCGGAGCGCAGAGCAGGCCAUCCGUGCGAGUGUCGAUGAGCACCGUGUGUUCAUGUGCGACGCGACGGCCGAAAUCUCUAUCCUCCGCAGCGAGUUGGCGACCGCGGAGGAGUGACGGUGCUGGAAGAGAUGAUAGGUGGGUUGUCACGCGGGCGGCGUAGUCGUCAAACGGGCGGUGCACUCACGCCGACUUGCGCGUUCGACCUCAUCCACGUCGCCUUCAUGAGCAUGCACCUCUUCACUUAUACCUCAGCUCGCCCUCCCUCGGCUCCUCCUCAAACCUGUUUGGGGGGGAUAGGAGGAGGGCGGCGACGCUGGCGGCUGAUCGCUCCCUUGUUUCGCUAUGCAUUUGUUUUUUUUUCUCUGUGUGUGUGUUCUGCUGUGCUUCUGAUGCCACGGCUGUACUGCUACUCAUCUGCUGAUAUCGUU